AUGAUCAUGGGACUUAAACAAGCUUCAGUGCUCAUUUAGUUGACUCCCUUCGUAUUCUAGAAAAGGAAAGAGAAGAAUAAAGGGCGUGACUAGCCUGAAGUCAUGCAGUGAGUUCACGACACAAGUGGAUUCCACUGGGGUCUUCAGACACCCAGAUUGGUGUUCUUUCCACUGAAGGAAAUUGCAUGCUUCAGGAGUCCAGGCUCAAGAGGACCUCUGACCCAAUUUCAGAACUGACUUUGAUUCUUCACUUCAGAUGGAAAUUAAGAUUGUGGAGAAGCCACGUCACCUGCUACUGCUCCCCCUGACUCGCUUUUGCUGGUGGCUUUGUAGUUUGGAACAAUGUGCACUGGGCCGAAGUCCCGGGGAACUCUGAGCUGGAGGUUGGAGCAUCACCAAAGAGGAGUGGAAAACUUGAUCUGGUUGCCAUGGAGACCAGCCACUGACUUCAGAGUGCCUGUUUAUUAAAGAUGAAAGUAAUGUAUGCCUGGCUGAUCUGAGCAGCUGUCAGAGAUUCGGCUGUUAGCAGAGGAAGUCACUAAUUUCGAGGCAUAAUCACUCAUCUAAGAGAGAGACGGCCCCCCUUCAUCUUCCGCGUGGAGCUGGGCUGUGUGGUCUCCCCCAGGUGCACGAGAGGAAAAGAGGUGGGGCCGAGCCCCGCAGAGAGCAGACUAGAUGAUUUUGCGUGCGCUUCGACAGGGUGAAAUCUGAGAGCAAAUCUGAAUCCCAAGAUGCAUGAUAAUGGUUCACUAAGUGCUCUCCAAAGCCCAGGGUGCAAGCCGGGCUCAUCGCUGCUGGGCUGUGAGGAGCGGCAGGAGGCAGUAGGCUGCUGGGAGCUGAUCCCCACCGUCUCGUCAUAGCGCAGCCAACUGGCUCAUCCUUUCUGCCUGCAGUUCCCUCAUCCGAAAGAGAAGUGAUGAGUAAGCUAAUUCUAACUAGGCUUUCAUUCCACAGAUGCUUAAGUGUGGGCUUCCCUGAACAGAAAAGGCUCCUGACACUGGACCGCUGGACAAGGGUUAGCCCCGUCUAGGUCACUGUUAACCAAGUACGAUGUGUACCUCUGGUCAAAGCUGUCUUAGGCCAAGGUCAGUGCUUGUUUGCAUCUCUUGGCAUCAGUGUGGCCGUCUGGGCAGGAGCUCCCAUCCCAUCUCUCCUGAGCGGCCUGGUGUUUGGGAAUGAAGAUGGGACAUGAAGCUAAGGAAGGGAAUACAACCCACCAGGAGUAUCUUUUAGGUGGAGAAAGAGAAAUGGAGUGAAGUGAGCACAUUGGGACCGCUCAGACCUAAGCGUUCUAAUCCUAAAUCCCCCAGGAGCCUGGAUGUUACACGUUCAAUGACAUGAUGCCGAUAAAUUAUAUCUGGUGGAUCAGUAAGAUGAAGCCCAUAGACACGUUUCAAUAAACGGAAUCUACAAGUGGAUUAAACUGUCCAAGGAAGACCUUUUCUUUUCCAAACUCCUUUCCUUUUUCAAACUGAGAGAUAUUAAGGAAACUCAUUUCAGCUUUGUUGGUAGUCUUGUUUUGUUUUGCUUUGUUAAAGGAAGACAGGAGGAACCAAAUCGUAGGUGCUGCGGUGGGGACUGGAAACUGACACAGCACUACGCUGGUGUGGGGCAGAGCUGUACGGAGGGAAAGCCACUUUGUCCCUGUUUGAGGCCAAGGGAAGCCAUGAUCUUUUAAGAAACUCGUAGAAAUUCCCACCAAGAGAAAAUUAGUAUGGAAUUCUGUAAGCAAUUUCCUUCCUUUCACAGAAUUCACAACCUAAAAUGUAAGAGCCCAGGGGUGCCUGGCUGGCUUUGUCAGUGGAGACUGCGACUCUUGAUCUCCGGGUUGUGGGAUCGAGCCCCACGUUGGGUGUAAGAGAUGAUGUAAAAAUAAAAUCUGAAAAGAAAAAAAAAAAAGUAAAAGCCUAUUCUUUGGUAGUUCUUCUAGAGGUUUGAUGUGAGGGAGCCGCAGAUCCAUAACUCGCGGGCCAGGCUCAUCCUGGGUUCCUUUCCUGGCCACAGACAGAAGUGAAUCACAUUCACUGCUUCCAAAUGCAGAUGCUGUUUCCUCUCAUCCUAGCAAGAAUUCAGGCAACCUUGAUUUCAUCGGGCAUAUGUCAUCAGUCCGCUUAUCAAAGUCUCAAGCGGGACUACCCUUAAGUGAUCUGUGCUUAAAAAGUACCUCACCCCUAUCCCCCUAACCAAGGGGCUGAAAAGGACCACUCAAUCACCUGCAGAAAGACCGUGAAUCGCCGGCAUCCUCUUGCCUGCCUGAGAACUCGGGCAUCUUAUACAUUUGAUUCUUGUUUCUCUGCUCUCCUUUGGGCUGACACUCAGAGCCAGGCCUCGUGGUUGUUUAUCAGUUGUCCAAGGCUAUUUUAAAGAUUUCUGCUUUCAUUUAUAACAUAAGUCACAUUCUUCUUGCAUCCGCUGCUGUAUUUUCCAAAGGGGUUGUGUCAAAGGAAA